rnacentral:rRNA from 1 species
AGAGUUUGAUCAUGGCUCAGAAUCAACGCUGGCGGCGCGCUUAACACAUGCAAGUCGCACGAGAAAGGGAGCAAUCCUAAGUAAAGUGGCGCACGGGUGAGUAACACGUGGAUCAUCUACCUUUUAGUGGGGAAUACCUCUGGGAAACCGGAGACAAUACCGCAUAAGCCCGCAAGGGGAAAGCAGCAAUGCGCUGAAAGAGGAGUCCGCGGCCGAUUAGCUAGUUGGCGGGGUAACGGCCCACCAAGGCGAAGAUCGGUAGCCGGCCUGAGAGGGCACACGGCCACACUGGCACUGAAACACGGGCCAGACUCCUACGGGAGGCAGCAGUGGGGAAUCUUGCACAAUGGGCGAAAGCCUGAUGCAGCGACGCCGCGUGAGCGAUGAAGCCCUUCGGGGUGUAAAGCUCUUUCGACGGGAACGAUAAUGACGGUACCCGGAGAAGAAGCUGCGGCUAACUACGUGCCAGCAGCCGCGGUAAUACGUAGGCAGCGAGCGUUGUUCGGAAUUACUGGGCGUAAAGAGUGUGUAGGCGGUGUUCCCAGUCUGUUGUGAAAUCUCCCGGCUUAACUGGGAGGGUGCAGCGGAAACUAGAAUGCUAGAGGGUGGGAGAGGUAAGCGGAAUUCCUGGUGUAGCGGUGAAAUGCGUAGAUAUCAGGAGGAACACCUGGUGUAGACAAGCUUACUGGACCACUUCUGACGCUGAGACACGAAAGCGUGGGUAGCAAACAGGAAUUAGAUACCCCGGUAGUCC